GCCCCGGUAGCUCAGUGGCAGAGCAACAGACCGAGUGUUUGCAGACCCGGGUUCGAUUCCCGGCUGGGGCA